ACGGAAGGCAGCAGUGGGGGAUAUUGCACAAUGGGCGAAAGCCUGAUGCAGCAACGCCGCGUGGGGGAAGAAGGUCUUCGGAUUGUAAACCUUUGUCCUUGCUGACGAAUAAAGUGACGGUAAGCAAGGAGGAAGUCACGGCUAACUACGUGCCAGCAGCCGCGGUAAUACGUAGGUGGCAAGCGUUAUCCGGAUUUACUGGGUGUAAAGGGUGCGCAGGCGGGAUCGCAAGUUGGAUGUGAAAUGUCGAGGCUCAACCUCGGAACUGCAUCCGAAACUGCGAUUCUUGAGUGAAGUAGAGGUAAGCGGAAUUCCGAGUGUAGCGGUGAAAUGCGUAGAUAUUCGGAGGAACAUCGGUGGCGAAGGCGGCUUUCUGGACUGUAACUGACGCUGAGGCGCGAAAGCGUGGGGAGCAAACAGGAUUAGAUACCCUGGUA
rnacentral:rRNA from 1 species